rnacentral:rRNA from 1 species
GAUAAACGCUGGCGACGUGCUUCAGGCAUGCAAGUCGAACGGGUGCUAGCUUUCGGGCUAGUACUAGUGGCGGACGGGUGAGUAACACGUAAGCAAUCUGCCCGGUAGUGGGGGAAUAACUAGCCGAAAGGCUGGCUAAUACCGCAUGUGAUGGUUUGUCUUUGGAUGGAUCAUGAAAGGCGUAAGUCGCUACCGGAGGAGCUUGCGGCCGAUUAGCUAGUUGGUGAGGAAUGGCCCACCAAGGCAACGAUCGGUAGCUGGUCUGAGAGGACGGUCAGCCACACGGGGACUGAGAUAC